rnacentral:rRNA from 1 species
UGAGUAAUGCGUGAGGAACCUGCCUUUCACAAGGGGAUAGCCUCGGGAAACUGGGAUUAAUACCCUAUGACACCUAAGUAUCGCAUGAUACUUAGGUUAAAGCGCAAAGCGGUGGAAGAUGGCCUCACGUCCCAUUAGCUAGUUGGUGAGGUAAAGGCUCACCAAGGCAACGAUGGGUAGCCGGCCUGAGAGGGUGACCGGCCACACUGGAACUGAGACACGGUCCAGACUCCUACGGGAGGCAGCAGUGGGGAAUAUUGCACAAUGGGCGAAAGCCUGAUGCAGCGACGCCGCGUGAGCGAAGAAGGCCUUCGGGUCGUAAAGCUCUGUCCUAUGGGACGAUAAUGACGGUACCAUAGGAGGAAGCCCCGGCUAACUACGUGCCAGCAGCCGCGGUAAUACGUAGGGGGCAAGCGUUGUCCGGAAUGACUGGGCGUAAAGGGUACGUAGGCGGUCAUGUAAGUCAGGUGUGAA